rnacentral:tRNA from 1 species
GGGGGUUUAGCUCAGUGGCACAGCACCUGCCUCCCAAGCUCGAGGUCCUGAGUUCAAUCCCUGGUACCCCCU